rnacentral:rRNA from 1 species
GUAGGGAAUAUUGGGCAAUGGAGGCAACUCUGACCCAGCCAUGCCGCGUGCAGGAUGACGGCCCUCUGGGUUGUAAACUGCUUUUAUACGGGAAGAAAAAAUACUACGUGUAGUAUACUGACGGUACCGUAAGAAUAAGGAUCGGCUAACUCCGCGCCAGCAGCCGCGGUAAUACGGAGGAUCCAAGCGUUGUCCGGAUUUAUUGGGUUUAAAGGGUGCGUAGGCGGAUCUUUAAGUCAGUGGUGAAAGCCUGCAGCUUAACUGUAGAAUUGCCAUUGAAACUGAAGAUCUUGAAUGUGGUUAAAGUAGGCGGAAUGUAUCAUGUAGCGGUGAAAUGCUUAGAUAUGAUACAGAACACCGAUAGCGAAGGCAGCUUGCUGAACCAUUAUUGACGCUGAGGCACGAAAGCGUGGGGAGCGAACAGGAUUAGAUACCCCGGUAGUCC